rnacentral:rRNA from 1 species
AACGAACGCUGGCGGCAUGCCCAACACAUGCAAGUCGAACGAGACCUUCGGGUCUAGUGGCGCACGGGUGCGUAACGCGUGGGAACCUGCCCUUAGGUUCGGAAUAACUCCCCGAAAGGGGUGCUAAUACCGGAUAAUGUCUUCGGACCAAAGAUUUAUCGCCUUUGGAUGGGCCCGCGUUGGAUUAGCUAGUUGGUAGGGUAAAAGCCUACCAAGGCGACGAUCCAUAGCUGGUCUGAGAGGAUGAUCAGCCACACUGGGACUGAGGCACGGCCCAGACUCCUACGGGAGGCAGCAGUGGGGAAUAUUGGACAAUGGGCGAAAGCCUGAUCCAGCAAUGCCGCGUGAGUGAUGAAGGCCUUAGGGUUGUAAAGCUCUUUUACCCGGGAUGAUAAUGACAGUACCGGGAGAAUAAGCUCCGGCUAACUCCGUG